AUGCUCAGAAACAACGAGCUACACACAUAGUUACCAAUGGCUUUUAGGGCGAGAUCAGAAGUUAUGCGAGAAUUGUAGUCCAAAAACUCAUAUGAGUAGUUAAUGAUGCUAAACUUGAAAUCAUCCUUGUCAAUGUUGUUAUAAACAUGGCGGCAGCAGCAUGGAGCGGAGUUUCUUCGUGGAUUUUACAGGAGGACCAAACACCAUUCAACGCACGAGUCAUCGACUAUGCGUGCAUUAGAGGCGAUAUUUAGACAUCAUGUUCGCUUCAAUCAGCUAUGUUACGCGCAGCUUGGGCAUUUGUUUAAAUGUUAGUUGUUGUGAUUGUUUUUAUAUUUUAAUUACCUUGUGAAUAAAUGGUGAGCUACGCGAAACCACCAACAAUGAGUUAUUAUUUGUUUUCAAUUUUAUUUAU